rnacentral:rRNA from 1 species
AAUAGAUACCCGGGUAGUCCACGCCGUAAACGAUGGAUGCUAGUUUUUACCCAUAUCGACCUGGGUAGAAACGAAGUUAACGCGUUAAGCAUCCCGCCUGGGGAGUACGAGCGCAAGCUUAAAACUCAAAGGAAUUGACGGGGACCCGCACAAGCGGUGGAGCGUGUUGUUUAAUUCGAAGAUAAGCGAAGAACCUUACCAAGGCUUGACUUCCUGCGAAGGUUUCCGGAAAGGAAAUUGUGCCUUUUAGGAGCGCAGUGACAGGUGCCGCAUGGCCGUCGUCAGCUCGUGUCGUGAGAUGUAUGGUUAAGUCCAUUAACGAGCGCAACCCUUAUGAUUAGUUGGAUUUUUCUAAUCAGACUGCCCUGGCAACAGGGAGGAAGGAGGGGAUGAUGUCAAGGGUCAGUAUUGCCCUUACGUCUUGGGGCGACAAACACGCUACAAUGGCCGGUACAAAGGGCAGCCAACUCGCGAGAGGGAGCAAACCCCAUCAAAAGCUGGUCUUAGUUCGGAUUGCAGGCUGAAACUCGCCUGCAUGAAGUCGGAAUCGCUAGGUAAC